UACGUAGGGUGCAAGCGUUAAUCGGAAUUACUGGGCGUAAAGCGUGCGCAGGCGGCUUUGCAAGAUAGAUGUGAAAUCCCCGGGCUUAACCUGGGAACUGCAUUUGUGACUGCAUGGCUGGAGUGCGGCAGAGGGGGAUGGAAUUCCGCGUGUAGCAGUGAAAUGCGUAGAUAUGCGGAGGAACACCGAUGGCGAAGGCAAUCCCCUGGGCCUGCACUGACGCUCAUGCACGAAAGCGUGGGGAGCAAACAGG
rnacentral:rRNA from 1 species